rnacentral:lncRNA from 1 species
CCUGAAGCAGCAACAAAAGGCAUGUGGGUAAAUAAAACGAUUCCUUAUUUUCUUGUAUUUCAAUCAGUAUUUGGAAAUCUUUUUGGGAAGACAACUAAAAAUCAGAUAUUAUUGCAAAGUUUUGUUAAAUUUUUCUUAUAUCAAUAAUUUAAAAUCAGUGAAUUUAUGAAAGAAAGAAACAACUAUCCUCAAUGUUGAUUUUUGCAUGAAAACAAUUCUUUCCCCUCCCCAAGGUUCUUCUUUGGGGGAUGGCAGGACUGAGGAGGAAGUCACCAGGCACCAGGCUGUUCUUGGGGCACAGAAUGACUCCCUUACACGACACUCUCCAGGUCCACACCCGCCCUGCUCAUACACAUAAACAGAUGGAAAAGACGACAGAGCCUGGACUACGGGUAUAGGUUUACAGCACGUUCCUGGGGUCCGAGCUCUGGGAACCCCGAGGCUCUGAGACAGUAGCUGCCCCUCAGAGCUCCCAAGUAGAGAACUCCCCAGGCUUUCCCAAACUAACCUCGGUGCCCCCUGGCUGGAAAUCUUCCUUUAGGGCUCAAUAUCCUACUUUCCUCUUGCAGCCAAGUGGCUGUGAGGAGAGAAGAGGAGGAAGCGCCAGGGAGCCCAGAGCCACCAGACAGUGACGCCACAAAGCCACAGCCAUCACACCCGCACAGGUGAAGGACACGCAACCAAAUCCCCGUCACCCCAGCACAGCCACUCACCUGUCACAGCCUCGCAGCCACACCCACGGCACGGAGGCGCAUCCCACCGCUCACUCGCGUCUCUCACACACACCCCGCCACACGCUGCCCGUCUGUCCCCACAGACACACACCGUCCUCUGCCGUUCAUGCCCGAGAGUCCCCUGAGGACUGGCGUCCUUACUACGGGCCUCCACCCUGUGAGCGCUCCCGCUGCCACCCCACCUGGUUCACGUCGGGCUCCGAAUUGACUCGCUUCACAGGAUUCCCGCAUCCUGUGCUAACACAUCCACAAACGAGCUCCACUCACCUUGCAAAGAGGGAGAAGCGCGCGAAAACGGAAUGGAAGCCGAAGAUCUGGCGUGACCGCUGCCCUCUGGCAAGUGUCGCUCCAACCUGAACCUCUCUGGGCGCGGCGGCUCGUCAGACAGGCCGCCGAAGCGCGGAAGUCCCGGUGGAACUGCAGCGGCGAGAACCGCCCGGAGCCCGGCCCCGGAGCGCGCGAUGCGAGGGCACGUGCACGGGCAAACGCCGCUGCGCCCAGGAGGCCGAGCAGGGCAGCCCGGCGCUGGUUCUGAGCCUCUGGCCUGUGCACGCAGAGUCGCACUGGAGUGUCGGGGGGCGGCCCCUGGGGCGCGAGCGCACGGCGGGUGUGAGCUCUGAGGGCGGGGCCCCGGGCGAGUCCCCUCAGGCGGCUGCAGCCUGGCGACAGCAUAUGCGGAACCUAACUCCUGAUACCGCCGGGGGCGGGCUGGUUUAUUCAGAAAGCCUGUUAGCUGCGUUUAAACGGUGUGUAGGAGUGAAGUAACACAUGUUUACUUAAUUCUCUAGGCUAAGCUAUAAUAAUAAAAAUGGAAUGAAUAUUUAAUUGUAAAGGUGCUGUGGUGAAUAUUUUGUAUAUACUUUGCAAUAUUGAUUUAGGGACAGAUUUUCCAAGCAUACCCAAAGAGAGGAAUCUUAGUAAAAUUCUAAGAGUUCACUGGAUAAUUAUUGUAAUCA